UAUAGGGGAAAAACUUAUUUUUAUUUUUCUUCUGCUUCAUUUUGAAAAUAAACCAAAACUUGUAGUUAGAAUGAAUGCCAACAUACAUGAAUUGUUCUUAGAGAACACUGAAUUGAAGAGAUACAACAAUAGAUGAGACAGGCUGCAAGCAGCAACAGAAUGUUAAUAUAAACAGAACUACAGAUGGGUGUAUAACAACGUAAACCUCUCAAGUAAAGACUAUCAAAAUACUUCACAUUAUCACUGCAUAACCAACAAAUACAAGAUAAAUAAUAUGGCUAAAAUGUGUUUUAUCUCAACCAAAAAGAAUGUCACAAUCAUAAAACAUAACACUAUGGUUUUGAGUAUUUGAAUGCCAAUUAAUUUAGUUUCAGUUUAAAGUAAACCAGGGGGAAAAUAUGUCUGAACCCAUAAAUUUUGAAUAAAAAAAGAUAUACAAAAUACAAUUUAAACAUAGUUAUUUUUAAUAAAAAAAUUUUGAAUAACAUUAACAAUAUCCAACAGAAUAUGGCAUAUACUGGCAAAUUAAAAACUCAAAAAGUCACACAAAAAAAAAAAAAAAAAAAAG